rnacentral:piRNA from 1 species
AAUAAAAAUAAGGAGAGACUACAUUUACACU